AAGUGGAUUAGUGGCGCACGGGUGAGUAAUACAUAGAUAACAUACCCUUUAGUCUGGAAUAGCCACUGGAAACGGUGAUUAAUACUGGAUACUCCCUACGGGGGAAAGUUUUUCGCUAAAGGAUUGGUCUAUGUCCUAUCGGCUUGUUGGUGAGGUAAUGGCUCACCAAGGCUAUGACGGGUAUCCGACCUGAGAGGGUGAACGGACACACUGGAACUGAGACACGGUCCAGACUCCUACGGGAGGCAGCAGUAGGGAAUAUUGCUCAAUGGGGGAAACCCUGAAGCAGCAACGCCGCGUGGAGGAUGAAGGUUUUAGGAUUGUAAACUCCUUUUGUUAGAGAAGAUU
rnacentral:rRNA from 1 species